AGUGGAUAAGGUGAUCAUGGGAUCUGUUCCAUGAAAAAAAAAUAUCCCCUUAGAUUUUUUUUUUCCCUACUGUUUUUGAUAUAUAUUGCAUAUUGUGCCUUAAGGGCAGCAGCUACAUAAAGAUAUCUCUCAGUAUUUGUUCAGUAUUUGACAGUUAGGCUGUUCCAAUGUACCUUAGGGAUUUUUAUUCUAAUUUUAUGCUGUCAGACUUUUAUUUCUCUGACUUUGUAUCCUCUGUGGUAAUAUUACUAAAAGCUUUCCGGUUUUGUGGGUAUUUUUAUUAAAAGAAAAGUAAUUGUAUUAAUCAGAGCUUAGUUUUUCUUGCCUUUUUCUUCCAGAUUAUCCCAAUGGCAUUCGGCUCACGUCAGCUGUUCCAGGAGCAGAUAUCAAAGUACUCAUAAAUUUCAAUGCACCAAAUCCUCAGGACAGGAAGAAGUUUACAGAUGAUUUGAGGGAAUCAAUUGCAGAAGUUCAAGAAAUGGAAAAGCACAGAAUAGAGUCCGAGCUGGAGAAGCAGAAGGGGGUGGUGCGUCCCAGCAUGUCGCAGUGCUCCAGCCUGAAGAAGGACUCCGGGAACGGGACCCUGCCCCGGCCGUGCCUGGACGACAGCUACGCCGGCGGCGAGGGGCUGAAGCGGAGCGCGCUCAGCUCCUCCCUGCGCGACCUGUCCGAAGCAGACUAGGCCUGGAAAGGGAAGGAAAGCUCCUGGUCUCUGUGUGACGAGCGCUUUCUGUGUACUCUGUGCUCAAGUGUACCUGUGUCACCACCUCGAUGAAUGAAACUGAGUGAAGCCCUACUAAAUUCUCUCUAGAGCUGUGUAACACCAGUGUGCCCCUGAUGCUCUUUUCUGGUUCUGUAACUCAGACACAGUUCCUAAUUCUUGCAAAAAGAGGUUGUUGUGAAGUACUCUUUGCAACAGAACCAAAGAAGCCCUAUUGGACAAGGAUGCUGAUAACCCACAAAGCCACUGAUGUGUCUUAAGUUUUAUUAACUGGUUAAAGACUGGAAAGCAGUGGUGAUACAAUUUGUUAGCCAAAGCAAGCCAGGGGAAGUUGGGCAUGUUUUUAUUUGAUGGUUUGCCUCACACCUGGCAUAGCCAUGUAAUCUUUCAGUGUUAAAGAUUCCUGUCACUGACAAGAACUCUUAUCUGAACACCAUGUCCACUAUUCAGAAAGUACUUCCAUAGAUAGUAGCAACUCUAUUUUUUUUAGUUAUUUGGUUUUUAGUUCAUAGGCUGUGUUGCAUACUCUGCUUUGUUCUUUCAAUUGCAGUGAUGAUGUCCAGUGUAGUCAUAAUUUCAAUAUUCUGUAUAUCUUUGGUAGU